rnacentral:rRNA from 1 species
UAAUCUAAUCUGGUAAAGCGAAUGAUUAGAGGCCUUAGGGUCGAAACGACCUUAACCUAUUCUCAAACUUUAAAUGGGUAAGAACCACACCUUUCUUGGUAUGAAGGUGUGGUUGUGAUAUAAUGUGCCCAGUGGGCCACUUUGGGUAAGCAGAACUGGCGCUGUGGGAUGAACCAAACGUAAUGUUACGGUGCCCAAAUUGACAACUCAUGCAGAUACCAUGAAAGGCGUUGGUUGCUUAAAACAGCAGGACGGUGGACAUGGAAGUCGUAAUCCGCUAAGGAGUGUGUAACAACUCACCUGCCGAAGCAACUAGCCCUUAAAAUGGAUGGCGCUUAAGUUGUAUACCUAUACAUUACCGCUAAAGUAAAUGGUUUA